rnacentral:lncRNA from 1 species
UUGAGGGGUGGGGUGAAGUAUGAUGCGCAGUUGUCUUUGGAGAAGAAUCUUGUUACAUGUGCAUCCUAGUUUAGGAAGAUUGUAAAUGUUGUUAUGGCCCCUCCUCAUGUGGGACCCACAUCAUUUAAAAAUAGAAAAAAAAUAUCGUGGUAGUUUUUUUUCAAAAAUCACUUGGCUUCAAAGUGCGGCAACUGUGGAAAAACCGAACAAUAGGAAGAGCAGAAAUAGAGUAAAAAAA